rnacentral:rRNA from 1 species
UUGACCUCGGAUCAGGUAGGGAUACCCGCUGAACUUAAGCAUAUCAAUAAGCGGAGGAAAAGAAACCAACAGGGAUUGCCUUAGUAACGGCGAGUGAAGCGGCAAUAGCUCAAAUUUGAAAGCUGGCGUCUUCGACGUCCGCGUUGUAAUUUGUAGAGGAUGCUUCGGCGAAGACUCCUGCCUAAGUCCCCUGGAACGGGGCGUCAUAGAGGGUGAGAAUCCCGUAUGUGGCGGGCAGUCUAAGCCAUGUGAAGCUCCUUCGACGAGUCGAGUUGUUUGGGAAUGCAGCUCUAAAUGGGAGGUAAAUUUCUUCUAAAGCUAAAUAUUGGCCAGAGACCGAUAGCGCACAAGUAGAGUGAUCGAAAGAUGAAAAGCACUUUGGAAAGAGAGUUAAAAAGUACGUGAAAUUGUUGAAAGGGAAGCGCUUGCAACCAGACUCGCUCGUAGUUGCUCAGCCGGCCUCUUGGCCGGUGUACUCUUCUACGAUCGGGCCAGCAUCAGUUCGGGCGGCAGGAUAAAGGUGUCGGGAAUGUAGCACCCUUCGGGGUGUGUUAUAGCCCGGCGCGGAAUGCUGCCAGCCUGGACUGAGGAUCUCGCUUCGGCAAGGAUGCUGGCGUAAUGGUUGUAAGCGGCCGUCUUGA